GCUUGAUCAAAACCAAGGAUGUCUCAUCUACUAUAGAUUACACCACUUUGUCUUUUCAACAAUGAAUAUAUUAUUAUAUUAAAAUGGAGAUACUAUAUUCCUAGUUUUUCCCAUUAGCUUUCUUUUGAAAUAGCAAAUCUUUCCUGAAUUCCAACAAAAUUGUGAGAUAACUAACUACCAAACUUCACAUUUGUCACUGCUGGAAUUUCAACCUCACCUCGUUUUUUGGAUCUCUGCUGAAUUUUUAACUUGUCGCACGGUUUUCACUCACAUCAUUCAGCAUUACGCCACAGUCUUGGGUGAAGCCAUCAGACCUUUUAUUAGCACCAGAAUAUCAUUACGCAUCGCAGAAACAGAACUUGGACUGACCUGUUCUAAAUGGGAGAACCACAGAGUAUCUGCAUCUUGAG
rnacentral:misc_RNA from 1 species